GGAAGGAGCCCGGGGAUGGAGGGAUGGGGGAAGGAAAGGGAGGAUGCUUUGCCCUGGCCUCACCUCAGCUCGGUGGGUGGGGACGGGCGAGCCCCUCGCCUCCUGCUCCUCCCCAGCAGCCGCGAUGGUCACUAACGGGCCGGGGGUGCGGUGCGGCUCCCCUCACCCAGCGCCGGGUCCCCGCCUCCUGCUCUCGCCCCGUCCCCGCCUCCUGCUGCCCGAGCCGCGCUCGCUGGGCUCUGAGGGAGCCGGGAGCCGCCGCCGCUAGGGGAGGAGGGAGCGCGCCUGCGCCACCGCCCGGGCGGCGAGACGGGAGGAGGCAGCGGGGCCGCCGGCGGCUCCAGUGCCCGGGGAGGGGGAGUCCGGUCCCGGCCCGGCUACCUGAGAGCGGCGCGGGGCUCGGGCGGCCUCAGUGCGCAGGUGCGAGAAAAAUCUUGAGAGCAAGUCUUUCAGCCACAAGAAACCAAUCGACUGUUCCUAACUCCAACUGCCAUGGAACUGUCCAGUACCAAAUUCUGUUCCUUGCAUUAAAGAAGCAUCAUCCCACUCUUCAUGCUGUUUGAUUACCCGAG
rnacentral:lncRNA from 1 species